AGUGAACGCUGGCGGCAUGCCUUACACAUGCAAGUCGAACGGUAACAGGGCUUCGGAUGCUGACGAGUGGCGAACGGGUGAGUAAUACAUCGGAACGUGCCCAGACGUGGGGGAUAACGAGGCGAAAGCUUUGCUAAUACAGCAUACGAUCUAAGGAUGAAAGCGGGGGACCGCAAGGCCUUGCGCGUUUUGACCGGCCGAUGGCGGAUUAGGUAGUUGGUGGGAUAAAAGCGUACCAAGCCGACGAUCUGUAGCUGGUCUGAGAGGACGACCAGCCACACUGGGACUGAGACACGGCCCAGACUCCUACGGGAGGCAGCAGUGGGGAAUUUUGGACAAUGGGCGAAAGCCUGAUCCAGCAAUACCGCGUGCAGGAUGAAGGCCUUCGGGUUGUAAACUGCUUUUGUACGGAACGAAAAGGCUCUGGCUAAUACCUGGGGCACAUGACGGUACCGUAAGAAUAAGCACCGGCUAACUACGUG
rnacentral:rRNA from 1 species